rnacentral:rRNA from 1 species
GACGAACGCUGGCGGCGUGCUUAACACAUGCCAGUCGUACGGUAAGGCCCUUUCGGGGGUACACGAGUGGCGAACGGGUGAGUAACACGUGAGUAACCUGCCCACAACUUUGGGAUAACGCUAGGAAACUGGUGCUAAUACUGGAUAUGUGCUCCUGCUGCAUGGUGGGGGUUGGAAAGCUCCGGCGGUUGUGGAUGGACUCGCGGCCUAUCAGCUUGUUGGUGGGGUAGUGGCCUACCAAGGCGGCGACGGGUAGCCGGCCUGAGAGGGUGACCGGCCACAUUGGGACUGAGAUACGGCCCAGACUCCUACGGGAGGCAGCAGUGGGGAAUAUUGCACAAGGGGCGCAAGCCUGAUGCAGCAACGCCGCGGGCGGGAGGACGGCCUUCGGGUUGUAAACCGCUUUCAGCAGGGACGAAGCUUUUUGUGACGGUACCUGCAGAAGAAGCACCGGCUAACUACGUG